UACGUAGGGGGCGAGCGUUGUCCGGAAUUAUUGGGCGUAAAGAGCUCGUAGGUGGUUUGUCGCGUUGUUCGUGAAAACUCACAGCUUAACUGUGGGCGUGCGGGCGAUACGGGCAGACUGGAGUACUGCAGGGGAGACUGGAAUUCCUGGUGUAGCGGUGGAAUGCGCAGAUAUCAGGAGGAACACCGGUGGCGAAGGCGACUUCCUGGCCUGUUCUUGACGCUGAGGCGCGAAAGCUAGGGUAGCAAACGGG
rnacentral:rRNA from 1 species